rnacentral:rRNA from 1 species
CCGCACGGGUGAGUAACACGUAUCCAACCUGCCGUCUACUCUUGGACAGCCCUCUGAAAGGAAGAUUAAUACAAGAUGGCAUCAUGAGUCCACAUGUUCACAUGAUUAAAGGUAUUCCGGUAGACGAUGGGGAUGCGUUCCAUUAGAUAGUAGGCGGGGUAACGGCCCACCUAGUCUUCGAUGGAUAGGGGUUCUGAGAGGAAGGUCCCCCACAUUGGAACUGAGACACGGUCCAA